AUUGAACGCUGGCGGCAGGCCUAACACAUGCAAGUCGCACGAGUGGCGGACGGGUGAGUAAUGUCUGGGAAACUGCCUGAUGGAGGGGGAUAACUAAUGGAAACGGUAGCUACUACCGCAUACCAUCGGAUGUGCCCAGAUGGGAUUAGCUGGUAGGUGGGGUAAAGGCUCACCUAGGCUACGAUCCCUAGCUGGUCUGAGAGGAUGACCAGCAACACUGGAACAGAGACACGGUCCAGACUCCUACGGAGGGCAGCAGUGGGGAAUAUUGCACAAGGGGCGCAAGCCUGAUGCAGCCAUGCCGCGUGUAUGAAGAAGGCCUUCGGGGUGUAAAGUACUUUCAUCGGGGAGGCGUUACCCGCAGAAGAAGCACCGGCUAACUCCGUGCCAGCAGCCGCGGUAAUUC
rnacentral:rRNA from 1 species